GUGGGGAAUAUUGCGCAAUGGGGGAAACCCUGACGCAGCGACGCCGUGUGAGGGAAGAAGGCUUUCGGGUCGUAAACCUCUGUCAGGAAGGAAGAACCUCUCAAGGCUGAACAAGCCUUGGGACUGACGGUACUUCCAGAGGAAGCACCGGCUAACUCCGUGCCAGCAGCCGCGGUAAUACGGAGGGUGCAAGCGUUAAUCGGAAUCACUGGGCGUAAAGCGCGCGUAGGCCGUCUUUUAAGUCGUACGUGAAAGCCCUCGGCUCAACCGGGGAACUGCGUUCGAUACUGGGAGACUUGAGUCCUGGAGAGGGUGGCGGAAUUCCGGGUGUAGGAGUGAAAUCCGUAGAUAUCCGGAGGAACACCGGUGGCGAAGGCGGUCACCUGGACAGGUACUGACGCUGAGGCGCGAAAGCGUGGGGAGCAAACAGGAUUAGAAACCCCGGUAGUCC
rnacentral:rRNA from 1 species